GGAGUUAGCCGAGGCUGAUUCCUCAGGUACCGUCAUUUGUUCUUCCCUGAGAAAAGGGGUUUACAACCCAAGAGCCUUCCUCCCCCACGCGGUCUUGCUCCGUCAGGCUUGCGCCAUUGCGGAAAAUUCCCCA
rnacentral:rRNA from 1 species